rnacentral:misc_RNA from 1 species
UAGAUUCUUGAAUGAUAGUUGUUAAAAUAAACAACAAAAAUGAUAAGAUAUUUUGCAUGCUUACAUUCAUUUAUCGUUAAUUUAAUAAUUUUUAUUUAUCAAGACCGUUCACUACUGCAGUCACAGCGUGCGUUCUCUUGUUCAUAGAAUACUUUUUAAUAUUAAAUAUAAAUUUGUGCGUUAUAGAUUCAUAUUUCAUAGACUACAGUAUUCUUUUUUUCAAUUUCAGAUUAGACAAAGUUUUAUAAUAAAUAAUUUAAAAUAUGGAUUGCGACGAAGGAACGCCUUCCAGUAGCAAUGCUAUUGAAGAUAAAACUGAAUAUGAGGCUUUUAAAUCUCCAGUUUGUCUUAUAGUGUUGGGUAUGGCUGGUUCAGGAAAAACCACAUUUGUUUCAAAACUCAACUCAUACCUUAAGCAAUACAAAAGAGCCCCAUAUUUAAUAAAUCUAGAUCCAGCUUGUAAAAACAUGCCAUACACUCCAAAUAUAGAUAUUAGAGAUUCUGUGAAAUACAAACAAGUGAUGAAGAAUUAUGGUUUGGGUCCUAAUGGCGCAAUUGUAACCUCUUUAAAUUUAUAUACCACAAAAUUUCAUCAGUUAAUGGACCUCCUAGGAAAAGUAAAUGUUGAAAAUAGUCAUGAUAUAGCUGUUAUUGACACACCUGGGCAAAUCGAAGUUUUUACAUGGUCAGCAUCAGGUCAAAUACUUACUGAAAGUCUUGCGUCAACAUUCCCAACAAUUGUAGUUUAUGUUAUGGAUCUAGAAAGAAGUACUAGUCCAAUAACAUUUAUGUCCAACAUGUUAUAUGCAUGUUCCGUAUUAUACAAAACCAAACUACCAUUUAUUGUAGUUUUAAAUAAGUGUGAUAUUGUAGACCCUACUUAUGCAAUUGAAUGGAUGCAAGAUUUUGAAGCAUUUUGUGAUGCUGUAGAAAAUGAAUCAUCAUACAUGUCAAAUUUGACUCGUACUAUGGCAUUAACUUUGGAUGAAUUUUAUAAUGAAUUAAAAUGUGUACCAGUAUCUUCAUUGACAGGCCAUAAUUUUGAUGAAUUUUUUAAAAUGGUUGAUGCAGCAGCUGAUGAGUUUCAAAAGGAAUAUCGUGUUGAAUGGGAUAAAUUGCGUAAAGAAAAAUUGCAAACUGAAAUUUCUCAGCUCAACAAAAAAUUGGAUGAUUUAGCCGUUAGCAGUGGCAAGGGAGAACAAGUACCUUUAUUUACCUCGUUAAGUGCUGGUCGUGAGAUUUCUGAUAUCUAUCUAGCACCAAAUGCUGAUGAAAUGUCAGGAGACAGUGAAGGAGAAGAGGUACCUGGUUUUAAUGUGAAUGAUUGAGCAAGUUAAAAGGUUCCUUUUGAAAAACAACUAAUUAUGAAGAUGAAAUUUCAAUAUCUGAAUAAUAUAUUAUUUAUAUAUUCACGAGAGAAAGAAUAAUAUUUUUCUUUGCAAUAAACUAACUCUAAAUUAAAUAAUAUACAAUAAGGAUUCAAGAAUGCAAUAUCAAAAUUGCUUAAUAUAUAUUGAUUACUGAAGUUAAAGUACUUAAUAAUUAGGAUCCGGAUUUCAAUUCAAA